AGAAUUUGUGUAUCUAAACAUAGAAAAGGUACAGUAAAAAGAUGAUACAAAAUAUUUUAAAAAGUUACACCUGUCUAGGGCACUUACCGUAAAUGGAGCUUGCAGGACUGGAAAUUGCUCUGGAUGACUGAGUGACAGAAUGAGUGGUGAAUGAAUAUGAAGGCCUAGGACAUUACUGUACACUUCUGUAGUCUUUAUAAACACUGUACACUUAGGCUAUACUAACUUGAUAAAAAAUUCUUUCUUCAAGAAUAAAUUAACCUUACCUUACAAUAACUUUUUUUCUAUAUGAACUUUUUACUCUUUUAUAAUUUUUUUACUCUUAUAAUACUCUUUUACUCCUUUAUAAUAACACUUAGCUUAAAACACAAACAUACAACUCUACAAAAAAUAUCCUUUAUACCCUUAUUUUAAAAGCUUUUUUCUAUUUUUAAUUUUUUUUUUUAACUUUUGAAACUUUUGUGUUAAGAACCAAGACACAAAUGCACACAGUGAUAUUGAUCAUCUUGACCCUAGGCCUACCCAGGGUCAAGAUGAUCAAUAUCACUGUCUUCCACCUCCACAUUUUGUCCCACAGAAAGGUCUUCAGGGGCUAUAACACACAUGGGGCUGCCAUCUCCUGCUAUAACAAUACCUUCUUCUGGAUACCUCCUGAAGGACCUACCUGAGGAUGUUUUACAAUUAACUCUUUUUUUUUCAGAAGUAGGAGUGUACUCUAAAAUAAAGUAUAAUAUGGUAAAUACAUACACCAUAGUUCUUUAUUCUUUAUAACGUAGUUCUUUAUUCUCAUUAUCAAAUAUCAUGUGCUGUACAAAAUUGUACAUGCUAUACUUUCAUAUGUCUGGCAGAACAGUAGGUUUGUUUACACCAGCAUAACCACAAACAGUGUGAUGCACUGCGCUACAAUGGUUACAAUGACUACGAAGUCACUAGACGAUAGGAACUUUUCAGCUCCAUUAUAAUCCUACGGGACCAUCAUUGUACAUGCAGUUUGUCAUUGACCCAGACAGUCUUACACAGCGCAUGACUAUACUUGGCCUGCCCCCGCUUUCUAGGUCCAUGUCAUACUCUUGCCACCCAUGUUUGUUAAGAACUCUUUGGCCUCAUGUAUCAAGCACAUUGCCAAACUGGCUUAAGCAUAAGGAGGGGAUGUAUUAUAAGGACCCACUGCUUUGUAGAACUCAGGUUUAGUAAAUCUCUUGCUGAGACUUGGGAGGGAAUCUCAAGAAUGAGAGAGCCUGUUUCUGCUUCUCUGAACAUCUGCUUCAUUUUUUUCUCUCUCCAGACAGGCUUUCUCUGACUCUGAGGUUAGCUCUCUCUCUCUUUCUCCUACUUUCUUCUCUCUGUCUCAACUUCAAAACACAGGGAGAGAAUCUGCCUGGCCCAGCUUGGAUCUGGCGCACAUCCCUUGUUCAAUCAGAAACAGCUAAGGAAGGGGCAGUCUAUGUAUUGCAUCAUGACCCAGAGGAAUCUUAGUGACCUGUGUUUCUCAAACUUUGAUAUGCACAUGCAUCACCUGGUCAUCUGCUUUACAUAUAAACUCUGAUGAAAUCUGGGAUGAAGCCCAAGAUUCUACAUUGUUAAUAAGCCCCCAGUUGAUACUACUGCUGCUGGUCUGUGAAUCACAUGUAGCAAAGUUCUAGAAGAUGGGUUGGGGCAAGUCCCAGACAUGACAAAGCCAUUUUUUUUUUCCUGUGCCAAAUGCAAUAUGUGGCCUUUUUAUGCCAUUCUUCUGGCUCCUGGAUACUCAUCACACCUUGUCACAGAGUGGGGUUUCUUCAAAUGUGCUUGUCUUCUCUGAGUAGACCCUCAUGUCCUCUAAAGACUUCUCCCUUAGACUCUUCUAACCACCAAUCUCAGAAGAACUCCCAGUCUCUGCUUUGUCCUCAUCUAGUUUUCAUGGAAAAAAGUGAUCUGAUGAGCACCAUUAAUGGUAGUCUAGUCCAUGAGUAUUCAAUCAAAAAUAUUUAUAAAAUAUUGAUGUAUUUCCUUUUUUAUUUACAAAAAUAAAAAUGCUAUAUGGCUAAAGAAAUGAAUCUCUAAUGGGGGAAUUUCAAUCAUUGUGGUAGGUAGACAAAAAAUUUAAGACAAACAGUGCUACCCAAUUGUGCUUUGGGGUCUGGAGAAACCAUAGAUACUGGUUGCCAUACUGACUGACUCGUUGUUGACUCAGAAGUGGGCUGAGUUCACCCCUAUCAUGGGCUGAACUGACUUCAGAACCAAGGGCGGUGAACAAAGAGACCUGUCCAUGUCCUAACUAAAAUCAUCCAGGUUCAUCACCUGCAAAAUAGAAAUGUUUGCUGUGAAGUACACUGAGAUCAGGUGGGAGACGUGUAUACAAAGUCUGCACACAGGGAGAGCUCAGAGCUUAGAGCUGUUGCUGUACUUUUCUGAUCCCACCAGCCCAGCUCUACUCAAUCUUCACCAGCCCUAAGGAAAAGAGAACAGAAACAAACAAACAAACACAAGCAAAGGCUACAUGGGAGAGAGAAUGGGAAGAACUGUGAAGAACUUUCUAGAACUGUUGUCAUACCCUCAGAAGUAAUAGAAUGAAGUUAAAGUCUUCUUUUCACUUGCUCUUUUGCAACCAGGCUGACCCAGUCUGAGCAGCAGACUUUACAUUUUAUGUUUGCAUUUCUCUCUUUGUGACUAUUCUCGUAAGAAAAGGACUGUCAUGCUGCUGUUUUCCAAAAAUUCAGGGGCAAAUACCACUGGGGGAAAAAACCCUCCAAAUAGCUGUUUCCUUAUUCAUCCAUGACUGUUCUAUAGUGCCAUCUGCCCUCAGAGCUGAGCUUAGCAGAGCUCUUGGGAGCUCCACAGGCCUCUGGGAUGCAGCUUUUUGAGGUUGGAUAGGACAAGGUAACUAGAGGUUUCAGGACUAUUCUAGAAAUGUUGUUUCUUUGGAGGUCCAAAGUUUUCCAUCAUUUUUUCUACAUGGGUAGAAUAAUGAAAAUGAGUGUGAAGAGGAGGCUGAGGAGGAGCAAACAGAUGAGUACAAACAUUAUUUUUCUCAUCUGCGAAGGAAACAGCUUCUUUGGACAUAGACUCCACUUUGACAAAGCUGCUGCAUCCAAAUCCUAUACUGUGAACAACUUUCAGUCAUCUAGCCACAUUCCUGGCAUGUACACAAAAGGUGACAGAUAUUCAUAGUUUGGAAUACCCAAAAGCAUUUAUAUCCUUUAGAAGGAUUUGGAAUGUAGGAAAAACAGAGCAAGUUACUGUUCAGCUAGUUCAAGCCUGGCUUAAUUCCAAGCAUUUCAAAUUCAGAGCAUCUGGAACUUUCUUCGAUGUACUACCAAGUACAGAGCUUACAGAAGCAUGCGCUUUGAUAAUCCCAACCAGGGUGGCCAUAUACAAGGCCACUGAGCCCUUGACAACAUGCUUUCUGUCUCCAGAUCCCUACAGCAAGGUGUUUGUGAGGCUGGUUGCUCAGGCACCAGGCGGUGCUCUCCACUCUGCUCCCGUCCCACUGCUAAUAAAACCCGUGGGAGCCAAUUAUAAUGCAGUUACUCCUCUAGCAGAGGUUCAGCCCGUGUUUUAUAGAAGGCACCCAUAUUGCUCACUAGAGACCCUGGAAUCAGAGUUCUGUUCAGUGUCUGCUUGUAUUCACUGGAACUAUCACAUUACUGAAUCUGCAAAGAACACAAAACUUGGCUUUUUUUGAAUAUAUGUGGGUAAAACUCGUUGAUGGUGAGUGUGAGGUGCUUUGACUUGUUUACCAAAACAUCUUUGAAAUGAGAGUAAUUUCAGUAACUGAAGUGAUGACAUUUUGUUUUAGCCCUCUCCUCUGAGUGGAUUAUGUGAAAAUGUCUAAACAAGCAAAAAUGCUCUUUCUGUACAUUGCAAAAUGGCAGCCUUUAAAGGAACUACUAAUAUUGUUUAUUUAAGGGAAAACAUUUAAGAAAGUGUAGUAGCCAUGCAGUUAAGCAAGAUUUUAAAAAACUGCAUUCUAAGGAGAUUCAAUCUAGCUUUGAGAAUCUACAGAACUGGAACAGAAUAGUGGUUAGGAAGUUAAAAUGCGGUUAUGUUUUCAGUGUGGACAUCCUAGCUCGAUGGAUCCCAGCAAGAUGACACAGGUAUUCUGUUCACAUUUUGAUACUAAAUCUGUCCUGGACAGCUCUAUCUGCCAAGUCUGAAAAACACAGGUGUGAGAAAAGAUAAGGAAGCAGUCACAAUUCUUCAUACGUUUUCUGAAUCUCCUUUAGAGGAUGAACCUAUAUUAGUGUUACUUUCUUCAAGAAGUUUUCUGUCAGAAAGGAGUUUUGUGAAGGAAACGAGUUCUGAUUAGGAUAGUCCAUUUUUGUCUUCCCAAAGCUUUGAUCUGUCACAGACCAAGAAUCUGACAAAAUGGAUCACAAAGUUUUGAGAAGAGACUGAAAUAUUCCCAUUGUGUGACCAGUGCCAUCUUAGGUUCAGACUUGGAGAGCGGAAGAAGUGAGAAGGGGAGACCUGAUUGUUGUUUGUACAUUUUUCACUGGCAGAUAGCCUUGAAGCCUUUCCGAAGAGAGAGCUAUUCUGUUCCUGUCAACUUUCUAGCUUUCUGUUAUUAAAGGAGCGUGUGUAUAGACCUCAUAUCUGUAAAGUAAUACCUUUAUGCAAAAUAAAUUAUCUUUACAAGUAACUACAACUUGCCUUCCAAAUAACAAAGUGAUCCUUAACUUUGAGACAGGUCUUGCUGCAAUAGAUGACCUGCCUUGAGGAGCAGACAAUAAAGAACAGAAUUUAGCACUUUUUAAAUGAUUUGGGAUCAUCUUCUCAGCCCGGAUGAAAGCUGUUCAGAGUCGCAAGGAAUGUCUCUGGGUUGACAGCAAGAAUAAGGUGAUGCCAGUUCAUAGGAGUUGGGGACACUAACCCUCUGGACUCUGUAUCGAGUAUGAGUGGCCUCUGCUCCCAAGUAUCUGACUUGGGAGAUGAAGGGCUCCUGGAUUUGCUGACUAGGGGGUUUCCCUGUACAAUUAUUGUAAAAUUAAACACAAACACCGGG